AUCUUCUUCUUAGGGUUGAUCCAUUUACACGUUAUAUUUUGUCACUGCUAUGGUUGCCAUGUUCUGGUUUUAAUUCUAUUUUAGUUCUUGCUUUGUCUUGAAUCCCUAGAGCUGAAAUUGCUUGUGAUUCUUAUCCAAUUUGAAUCCUCUAUUUUACUGCAACCAUAGUCAGUGUUGCGAAGGCUAAUAUUGUUGCUGUUCCGGUUGCGUAAGAGUUACCGCUGCUGCCCUGAAACUAAAAGAGAAGAGAGUUGUUACGUUAAAGUAUGCGAUUGCGACAUCGAGUGACACAGGUUUGAAGAUGCAAUAUGAAGCUGCAAGUGAUUAGUAGGCCUUCUUUACGGUUUUAAUUGCUUUCAUAGAGUCCCCUCGCUGUCGUCCCUU